UUACAGCCAUAUCACGUUGUAACACCGGUUCCUGUACGAUUACUGAAGUUAAGCAACGUCGAGCUUGUUCAGUACUUAAAAGGAUGAUAGCUUGGGAAUACCAGGGGCU